rnacentral:rRNA from 1 species
AGAGUUUGAUCCUGGCUCAGGACGAACGCUGGCGGCGUGCCUAACACAUGCAAGUCGAACGAAGCUUGAUUUCAGAUUUCUUCGGAAUGACGAAUGAUAUGACUGAGUGGCGGACGGGUGAGUAACGCGUGAGCAACCUGCCCUUCAGAGGGGGAUAGCGUCUGGAAACGGACGGUAAUACCGCAUAACGUAUGAUGAUCGCAUGGUCGACAUACCAAAACUGAGGUGCUGAAGGAUGGGCUCGCGUUGGAUUAGAUAGUUGGUGGGGUAACGGCCUACCAAGUCGACGAUCCAUAGCCGGACUGAGAGGUUGAACGGCCACAUUGGGACUGAGACACGGCCCAGACUCCUACGGGAGGCAGCAGUGGGGAAUAUUGCACAAUGGGGGAAACCCUGAUGCAGCAACGCCGCGUGAAGGAAGACGGUUUUCGGAUUGUAAACUUCUGUUCUUAGUGAAGAUAGUGACGGUAGCUAAGGAGCAAGCCACGGCUAACUACGUGCCAGCAGCCGCGGUAAUACGUAGGUGGCAAGCGUUGUCCGGAAUUACUGGGUGUAAAGGGAGCGCAGGCGGGGAGCCAAGUCAGCUGUGAAAACUACGGGCUUAACCUGUAGACUGCAGUUGAAACUGGUUUUCUUGAGUGAAGUAGAGGUUGGCGGAAUUCCGAGUGUAGCGGUGAAAUGCGUAGAUAUUCGGAGGAACACCGGUGGCGAAGGCGGCCAACUGGGCUUUAACUGACGCUGAGGCUCGAAAGUGUGGGGAGCAAACAGGAUUAGAUACCCUGGUAGUCCACACUGUAAACGAUGAUUGCUAGGUGUGGGGGGUCUGACCCCUUCCGUGCCGCAGCUAACGCAAUAAGCAAUCCACCUGGGGAGUACGACCGCAAGGUUGAAACUCAAAGGAAUUGACGGGGGC